CUUUGGUGAAGAGGAUUAUAGGCUGGU
rnacentral:piRNA from 1 species